AAUUAGAGUCAUAAAUCUAGCUUUAUCCUAAGAUUGAGAUCUCGUAUUUAUCUCAAAAUUAAAAUUUGUCAUUCCAAAUUCUUGUGCAUCUAUGGACAAAUUAGGAUAUGCUAGAAACCUCAUCUUCGUCUCAAUUUAAAAUAUAGUUCCAAAUUUUAUAAAAAGAAAUCAUCAAAUUUUUAUCCUCAAAUCAAAGUAAGUUGAGGAUAAAACCUUAAACUUUUCUCAAAUUAAGGAUGGACAAUAUUCCAACCUUUAUUUCAAAUUUAAAUCAAACUCAUGUAUUAGAUUCAUAGUUUGAUUAAUUCGAUAUGUCAAAUUGAGCAAAAAAAUGUUCGUAUUUAGACUUUAAAUUUAUCUUUUCGAGAUUCACCCACCCAUACAUGUGCAUAAAUCUCGAAAAGGUGCAUUUGUUAAAUAAGAAACUUUGGAACCAAUUACAAAUUGUCAGGUCAUUUCCUAAAAUAAUUGUAUUUGAGAUUAACUAAAAAUCAGCAUGUGUCCCAAAUUAAAUUUAAAUACAAAUUGGACAAUUCUAAUGAUGUCAUAUGUCUUUAUCAUGAGAAUUAGAUCAAAUUAAUUAUUUUGGUUCAAUUAAAUAUUAUUUACUUGAGCUAAAAUUCAAUUGAGCCAAAAAUGAGCUUAAUUUAUCCCAAAAUUAAAUAUGACCCAAAUCUAUGUGAUUGAGCCCACGGGUAUGAUCUAUGGACCAGACCAGGCCCAAGUUCAUAAAAACCCCACCAGGAAACUCUAUAAAUAGAGGAGUUCUCUUCAUUUGUGGGAGAAAAUUUUUUACUCCAGAAGGUCUAGAGAGAAUUCUCCCAAAAGCUAGAAGACUAAGUCGACCACUCUCGAAGAUUGAAACUCCUUUGAAGAUACAAGCUUUCUUCUAAGACUCCAACUUUAAAAACAUCAUGUGCUCUGCUUCCUCAAAUCAAGUAUAAGCAUCCAGCCGAGAGAGAAUCAAAGGAUCAAAUUCUAGAGAUCGAACCACAUUGCAUCAAAUCAACAUGAAUACAACAUCAACACAAGUUCAACUCCAGGAAUCAAAUUUCUCCGAAAAUCUCAUGUGAAAAAAUAUCAUUUGAAAAGAAAUAAGAUUAAUGGUUAUUUUUUCUUUAAAAAAUAGAGAUAUCCACACAUAAUGGAUCAUUCUACCAAACAGUGCCUAUUGUAUUCCUUCCACAAUAUUCAUGAAUUUUAUCUUUCCUUAAUUACUGCUCAAUUGUGUUUUUGUUAUCUUAUAUUUGUUUAAAUUAAAUUAGCUUCACAAUAUUCAUUCAUUUUAUGAUUACUUACAUUUUAAACAAGAGGUUUUUUAAAAAUUAUAACAAACCGACAAAAUAUUUACGCUGUAUAGAACAAUUUUGAAAACGAAAAAAGCCACAAGCCCACAAUGUAAAAUACCAAAAUUCUCUAAUCAACACGCGAUAAAUCAGCUACUCAGGCGGGAUAUACGAUUGUGUGGAUUUUGAUACACGAUCUCGGGCAUACCAUACCCCGAGAAGAAAAACAAUCCUUUAGUUAUUAGAUCUCAGGCCUUAGUGGCAUCGAGAUAGCCCGGGAUGAAAGAAUUCUGCCUUUAUUUUAUUCGAUAUCAGGCUAAAAUGCUUCAAGAUGUUCAGGAUGAAAGACUUCUACCUUUAGUUAUCUAAUCUUGGGCAUACAAUGCAUCGAGAUGGCUUGAGAUGAAAGACAAAAGUGUAGAUCUACACGAUCAUGUACUUCAUUUUAAACGAUUGUUUCAAAUUUAAACAAUUGUGUAGAUCAUGAUACACGAUCUCGGGUCUUAGUUGCACCGAGAUGUCCUGAGAUGAAAGAAUUCUACAUUUAAUUCAUUCCAUCUCAGGUACACAAUACCCCAAGAUGUCCUAGAAAGAAAGAAUUCUCCCUUUAGUUAUUGGAUCUUGGGCCUUAGUGGCACUGAAUGGCCCGGGAUCAAAUAAUUCUACCUUUAUUUUAUUUAAUCUCGGACAUACAUUACCUUGAGAUACCUCGGGAUGAAAAACUUCUGCAUUUAGCUAUUUGAUCUUGGACCUUAAUUGCACCGAGAUGACCCGAAAUUAAUAAAUCGCAAAGAAGAUAUAAAUCGCAAGGGCAUAUAUGGAAAUUUAUGAAAAAAUGAUCGCAUGUCAUGAACUUUUCUUAUUUUGUAAUAAGAGUCGUAAAUAUUUUAGAUUUUGUUACAUUUAUGUAAAUUAACUUUUAAACAAAGAGAUUAUGAGUUAAUUUCGGUGAUUAAGUAUAUUGAGACAAAGUUUAUCGCAAUAUGAUUAAUAAAAUUAGAUUCAAUUUUGCUUUCAUCAUUAUUAUUAUCCAUCUUUUUAUUAUUUUCAUAUCUUAUCAAAUUUUAGAUUUCAAUCUUAUUUUUCCCAAAAGAAAGGAAAAAAAACUCUUUCUUUUUUAAUUGUUCUUCUUAUGUUUUUAAUUCAGUUUUAAAAAAUCACAUUUGGUAGAAGUAGACGUUCAGUUUUUGACUAAAAUCAACAACUAUUAAUUACACUUGCUCCUAAAAACAAAGGAGGUUUGUUAUAAAUGAUGGAAAAAAAUGGAACUAUUCCAUAACAACAAACAAGUUUUUUAUUUGUUUGUCGUUUUGUGAUCUACCUUUCAUGAACAGAUCAUCAAUACUCAUCACGAAAUGGAUCCAUAAGAGCUAGUCACGAUACUAACAAUAUUUACAACUUCACAAUGUUAGUUACUUAUGAAAUUAGAGUUAUUACUAAAUGACCACAAGAGGAUAGAACAUACAUCAUUUAACAGUAAACAUCGUAUUAAACAACUAGCGUACUUUCAACUAAUCCAUGAGUCCAACCUAUGUAGUCGUCAAAGUACAAGAAUGGAUAGUAGAUGUUUCGUCAUUCUAUGCCAUUUACUUAGGACGACUGCUGGAUUAGUCGAAACAGAAGUUAUAGAUGUUGAGGAGAUAGUUACCAUGUUUCUGCACAUAUUAGCGCAUGAUGUGAAGAAUUGAAUGAUUCAAAGAGAAUUCGUACGGUUUGGUGAGGCUAUUUCUAGACAUUUCAACAUCGUCUUCUUGGCAAUUUUAUGCUUGCAUGAUGUGUAACGCCCCAAAGUAAGUAAUCUUUAAGUUUAAGUAUUCUAAGUUUAAUUUGACAAUUUGUAAUUUCGAGUGUUAUUUGGUUAAUUGGUUGAAUUAUUUGAUUUGUUAUUUGGAAGAAAUUUGGUUAAUUAUAUAAAUGAUUGUAUAAUUAAUUGAUUUUGAAGUUGGAUUAAUGAUAUAUUUUGUAAGGAAAAAUAUUUAUUUUGGGAAAGAUAAAAGUGAAUUGAUUGGAGUGAGGGAGAAUAUUUGAUUUUAAAAGAGGGGAUUUGUUGGGUUUUAAAUGAGGUGAGAGAAGAUUUUGAUAGGUUUAAUUAGGGAAAGAAGGAAAAGAAAGAGGAUAGUUUAAAAUAUAAUAAUAAUAAUAUUAUUAUUAUUAUUGUUUAAAUGUGGCAUGGGGAGUUGUGCCAUUUUCUUCCUUGGAAAAAAAAGGAGAAAGAAAAGAGAAAGGAAAAACCCUAACCCUAGCUCCUACAUUCGUCGCCGCCGUCACCGCCUCCACCUCCGUCCGCCGCUCUCCUCUGUCGUCAGCCGUUGCCCUACCCGAUACACAAGAUCCACGUCGUGCAGCCACAACCCGAGUCGAUCCUCCGUCUUCGACCGUCUCCUACUACACUGUUUCACCCCGCAGUCGUCGACGAGCCUCAUCGGUUGUCAAUCGCCGGCCAAGUCGAACACUCGAGCACCGUAAGUCAAUUCGUCUACCAUCACAUUGUCCCCGUCAACCGUCGUAUCGCUUUCGUUAGCCAUCGCCUCUUUCCGUCAAUCGAGCGUUGUUGACAGUCGAGUCGUCGCGAGUCGUCUCUGUCAGCGCGAGCCGUCGUCGUCAGCAAUCCACGCACGUGAAGUCUGGACCCCGCGCACGCACUUGUGCGAAGCUGCCGAGCCAGCGUCCGAGCUGCGCAACCCCAGUCGAGCCACCCCUGCGCGUGUGAGCCGCCUACCAGAGUCGAUUUUCUCUGCCUUAGUCGAGCCGAUCCUUGUCUUCCAAGCCGUUUUUGAGCCACCUAGCUUAUUCUUUGGUUUUUUCACCUAUUUUAGUAAGUCUCGAUUGAGUUUUGGAUUAGUGCUCGACAAAUAUUGAAUUUGGACUCUAGUUAAUGAAAUUUUGAUUGUGGAUUAAAUUGGUUAGAUUUAACUGGAAAUAGAGUUGGGAAUUUGUCCAACUAAGUGUAAAUCGAAUUUGGCCUCGAUUUUUGGGUAAGUUAAACCAACUGGACUUUUGGAUCCUUAAUCAUCUGCGAGUUAAUUAUUAAACUUAGUAUUUUAGCUUACUAUUUAGGAUUAUUCCUUGGAAGCUUGACCUUGUUGUUAGGAUUACCUUCGGUUUUAACUAAUCUCCAGGUAAGAGAUUCUACUACUAGACCCUCGAAAUGAAUUUAAGUGACCGUAUGUACUUAUAGUUAUACAUUUGGUUACACAUUAGUGAUAGCUAAAAUGUAUAACUGGAUGCUAUUGAUAAUGACUGUCAUUGUAUGGGUGAUUGAUGAUGAUAGCUGUUAACAUAUUUAUUACUGGUAGUAUAAUGAUGAUGACGACUGUGUUAUGUCUUUAAUGACAAUGUUUGAUUAGAAAUGUUAUGACCGAUACUUAUUCCAUGUUUAUGAUGAUGUAUGUUAUGUUACAUGCUAUGGUUUGGUUGUGCUGUUAACUUUAGCUAUUAGAGUCGUACCCGCAUGGGUGUCCUUCAGGAUCACCACUUUUUAUGACUAUGUAGUUCGACGGGGCCACCAGUCCAGUAUGACAUAGACAUAGACAUGAUUAUGAGUGAUUCGACGGGAUCACCCACAGCCCGAUUGUCUUAGUGUUUCCUUCGAAUACACUAAAGACCAGUUGUCCUAAGUGUUCCUUUGGGUUCACCGAAGACCAGAUAUGUUCCUACAGGAUCACAGAUUGCACGUGUUCGGGAACGUGCCAGAUUCAGGGCAAAGGUAGAGUUAAGGGUAGAGGGAAACUGACGAAUGACAAGAAGUGACCGUGGCGAGCCAUAGGGAUUGUUUUUGCUUCCGCCUUAUGUCAUUUGAUUAGAUGCAUUUCUUUUAUUUUAUUCAUUUUUCUUUGAAACUAGAUAGGGCCCGAGUUAGGAUUUUAUUUAAUUUUGUCCUUACAUACAUUCGUUUAUGAUUUUAAUGAGUAUUUGAGGUUUUGUUUUAUUUA